rnacentral:rRNA from 1 species
AGCAGCCGCGGUAAUUCCAGCUCCAAUAGCGUAUAUUAAAGUUGUUGCAGUUAAAAAGCUCGUAGUUGAACUUCGGGAUUUGUUCGUUGGUCAGGCUUCACUGUCUGUACUGGUGUUACGAAUUCCUACCUUCUGACGAAUCUUCAUGCCAUUCACUUGGUGCGGAGGGGAAUCAGGACUGUUACUUUGAAAAAUUAGAGUGUUUAAAGCAAGCUAUUGCUCGAAUAUAUUAGCAUGGAAUAAUAAAAUAGGACGGUUGGUUCUAUUUUGUUGGUUUCUAGGAUCACCGUAAUGAUUAAUAGGGAUAGUUGGGGGCAUUAGUAUUCAAUUGUCAGAGGUGAAAUUCUUGGAUUUAUUGAAGACUAACUACUGCGAAAGCAUUUGCCAAGGAUGUUUUCAUUAAUCAAGAACGAAAGUUAGGGGAUCGAAGACGAUCAGAUACCGUCGUAG